rfam:Bacteroidetes bacterium oral taxon 272 str. F0290 ctg120009420961, whole genome shotgun sequence.
GGGCUUGUUCGGUUUUGACAGCGAGUUGAGGUGGUAUGUAAGCAUGCAGAGCGUGGAUAAUAGGGCUCUAUAAUCUCCAUUAUCAAAAUUUAUCUGGCAACGAAAAUUAUGCUCUCGCUGCGUGAUUGAAGCAAAGUAAAUCACCUUUAUUUCCGGCAUAGUGCCGGGAACGGGAUGUCGCUCAAAAGCUCUUGUUCCGAAGCGUUUGACAAAGCGGCACAGCAAAUUCGGAAAUAAUCGAAAGUUCGCCUCGCGCUUUCGACGAAAUCUGAGAGGAUAAGGCACAAGUGGGUGGCUUUGGUCUUGCCUGUGCACGAAAACCGAAGGCAAAGCUAAGCAUGUAGAAAGCAUAUGGUCUCCUUGUUUGGACGAGGGUUCGACUCCCUCCAGGUCCACCG